rnacentral:rRNA from 1 species
CCUACGGGUGGCAGCAGUGGGGGAUAUUGCACAAUGGGGGGAACCCUGAUGCAGCGACGCCGCGUGGGUGAAGGAGCGUUUCGGCGCGUAAAGCCCUGUCGGCAGGGAAGAAGGAUGACGGUACCUGACUAAGAAGCCCCGGCUAACUACGUGCCAGCAGCCGCGGUAAUCCGUAGGGGGCAAGCGUUAACCGGAUUUACUGGGUGUACAGGGGGCGCAGACGGCGGCGCAAGCCAGGAGUGAAAGCCCGGGGCCCAACCCCGGGACUGCGCUUGGAACUGCGCGGCGGGAGUGCAGGAGGGGCAGGCGGAAUUCGUGGUGUAGCGGGGAAAUGCGUAGGAAUCGGGAGGAA